UACAGAGGUCUCAAGCGUUGUUCGGAUUCAUUGGGCGUAAAGGGCGCGUAGGCGGCGUUUUAAGUCGGGGGUGAAAGCCUGUGGCUCAACCACGGAAUGGCCUUCGAUACUGGGACGCUUGAGUAUGGUAGAGGUUGGUGGAACUGCGAGUGUAGAGGUGAAAUUCGUAGAUAUUCGCAAGAACACCGGUGGCGAAGGCGGCCAACUGGACCAUUACUGACGCUGAGGCGCGAAAGCGUGGGGAGCAAACAGG
rnacentral:rRNA from 1 species